rnacentral:rRNA from 1 species
GACGAACGCUGGCGGCGUGCCUAACACAUGCAAGUCGAACGAGGUCCAUGAGAGCUUGCUCUCAGAAGACCUAGUGGCGAACGGGUGAGUAACACGUGAGAAACCUGCCUCGGAGUGGGGAAUAACUCGGGGAAACUCGAGCUAAUACCGCAUAUCUUCACAUGAUCGCAUGGUCGAGUGAAGAAAGAAUUUCGCUCUGAGAGGGUCUCGCGGCCUAUCAGCUUGUUGGUGGGGUAACGGCCCACCAAGGCAACGACGGGUAGCUGGUUUGAGAGAACGAUCAGCCACACUGGGACUGAGACACGGCCCAGACUCCUACGGGAGGCAGCAGUGGGGAAUCUUGCGCAAUGGGCGAAAGCCUGACGCAGCAACGCCGCGUGCGGGAUGACGGCCUUCGUGGUUGUAAACCGCUUUCAGCAGGGACGAAAAUAGACGGUACCUGCAGAAGAAGCCCGGCUAACUACGUAGCCAGCAGCCGCGGUAAU